ensembl:snRNA U6 U6 spliceosomal RNA
AUGCUCGCUUUGGCAGCACAGAUACUAAAAUUGGAACAACAUAGGGAAGAUUAACAUGGCCCCUGUGCAAGGAUUACACGCAAAUUUGUGAAGUGUUCCAUAAAAAA